GCGCGUAGCGCUAUCAGUCAGAGUGAAAUCCUGACUCACCCAGAAUUGCCUUUGAAACUGGUAGCUAGAGUGUCGGAGAGGAUAGCGGAAUUGCUAAUGUAGAGUGAAAUUCGUAGAUAUAGCAGGAACACCGGUGGCGAAGACGACUAUCUGGACGACAACUGACGCUGAGGCGCGAAAGCACGGAGAUCAAACAGGAUUAGAUACCCUGGUAGUCCGUGCUGUAAACGAUGGGUGCUAGCUGUUUGGGGGUUACCCCUAAGUAGCGUAGCUAACGCGUUAAGCACCCCGCCUGGGGAGUACGGUCGCAAGAUUAAAACUCAAAGAAAUUGACGGGGACCCGCACAAGCGGUGGAACAUGUGGUUUAAUUCGAGGCAACGCGAAGAACCUUACCAGGAUUCGACAUGUCCCUUCUGGAUUCUUGAAAGAGAAUCCUUCAGUUCGGCUGGGGGGAACACAGGUGCUGCAUGGCUGUCGUCAGCUCGUGUCGUGAGAUGUUGGGUUAAGUCCCGCAACGAGCGCAACCCUCGUCUUCUGUU
rnacentral:rRNA from 1 species